GUCCCAGAGCUACCAGUAUGAGGUGUGUCUUACAGGAGAUUCUCAGAGUAAUGAGUUCAAAUUCUUGAAGCCUGUGUUUUCUAGUAUUGUAGACCAAAACUCUGGUAGGGAACUAGGAGAUAAUUCAUCCUCCCCAAGCAUUUUAGGCAUGUGAAACAACACAUUUCAUUCUUUGUAUACUUCUGUUGCUUUUGCAUUCUCGUUUUCUUUUCGAAUCUGGUAGUAAUGUUCACUUCUUUUGUUUUUCAUUUUCUCUACUAGUUUAUAUAGUAUUUUUGUUUGUUUAUUGGCUUUAUUACGUAUUUUUCCAAAUUUGUUGUUACUGAACAUUUUACAUCAGGACACUUCAUGUUCCUGAUUGAAUUUGCAGUAGUCUCUCCUAAAGAAUGUGUAUUUUCUGUAAUGAAUAAAAUUCUAAUUAUAAAAGUA
rnacentral:lncRNA from 1 species